rnacentral:ncRNA from 1 species
AGGUGUGACUGACGGAUAAGUGGGUGAACCACAGGGGAGCACUGAUGAAAGACCUUUUUGCCGACCGUCUGGGCAAUCCU